UACGUAGGGUCCAAGCGUUGUUCGGAAUUACUGGGCGUAAAGCGCGCGUAGGCGGGUUUGCAAGUCGAUUGUGAAAGCCCUGGGCUCAACCUGGGAAUGGCAGUCGAAACUGUAAAUCUUGAGUGCCUGAGAGGAUGGCGGAAUUCCCGGUGUAGUAGUGAAAUACGUAGAUAUCGGGAAGAACACCUGAGGCGAAGGCGGCUAUCUGGCGGUGCACUGACGCUGGAGGCGACGAAAGCCGUGGGGAGCAAACAGG
rnacentral:rRNA from 1 species